UCUGUUACAGACACUAGUUGAUGUGAAUGAAUUGAAAGAGGAACAGGUAAAGGCAAUCUUUACAUUUAAUGAUCCCAUUAAUGUUAAACAAGUAGGUGACCAAAGGUCCUCAAAUAUCAAGGUCAUUGGAUGACCUCAGGGCACCUUAAGUCUUUGUUUCAUGUUCUUUUCUUUGGUAUAAUGUGUUACUGAGUUCGAUUAUUGUGUUUGUAGACUAAUGUUGGAAAGGGAGAAGUGAAUAAGACAACAACUAAUGUACAAGCCACCGCUCAAGGACAGGUUUUGUUAUCCUUAAUAUUUUUGGAACCAAUUUCUUUCUUCAUUGUUUCAUACAUUGUUAACUACAUGUUUAUGUCAAAUUUUUCCUUUGUUUUAUAUGAUGACUUUUGGACCAAAAGGCUGAAAAGAAUUUCCUGAUGAAGGAUUUCUGAUAUUAAUUAUUUUACAAUCUGUGUUUUCAGAUGUUAUAGGUUGGUAAACGACAGAGAAAUCUGAAAAAAGGUAUAUUUGAUGUGAUUCAAUCGACAGAGGAGCAGAGUUAUGUGUGAAAGGGAGAAGCGAUUCAAUCGACAGAGGAGCA